UCACCAACUCGACCAGCUUCACUCGCUGUUGAGUCCUCUCUGGAUGAGGCAUCAGCUGAGUUGCCAACACAUCUGAAACUGCGCCAGUCGAGCUGAAGCUUGAGGACUCAGCACUAAGAGAUCCCACACUGGCGAGUGAGCUACUCUCUGAAUUGCUCCCUGCUGACAUGAACGAGCUGUUGAGCAUUCUUCAGAGGAGAUGAGGAGAGG
rnacentral:lncRNA from 1 species